rnacentral:rRNA from 1 species
GCCGGACCAGACUGAAUGUCCCCAAUCCUGUCUGAUCUCAGAAGCUAAGCAGCCCCAGGUCUGGCUAGUACCUGGGCAGCAGAAACUAGCUGAAACCUGCA